rnacentral:rRNA from 1 species
UACGUAGGUGGCAAGCGUUGUCCGGAUUUAUUGGGUUUAAAGGGUGCGUAGGCGGUCCUGUAAGUCAGUUGUGAAAUACGGCAGCUUAACUGUCGAGGUGCAAUUGAUACUGCGGGACUAGAGUACUGAUGAGGUAAGCGGAAUGGACGGUGUAGCGGUGAAAUGCUUAGAUAUCGUCCAGAACACCGAUAGCGAAGGCAGCUUACUAAGGAGUAACUGACGCUGAGGCACGAAAGUGUGGGGAUCAAACAGG